CCUACGGGAGGCAGCAGUGAGGAAUAUUGGUCAAUGGACGAGAGUCUGAACCAGCCAAGUAGCGUGAAGGAUGACUGCCCUAUGGGUUGUAAACUUCUUUUAUAAAGGAAUAAAACGAGGCACGUGUGCCUUUUUGCAUGUACUUUAUGAAUAAGGAUCGGCUAACUCCGUGCCAGCAGCCGCGGUAAUACGGAGGAUCCGAGCGUUAUCCGGAUUGAUUGGGUUUAAAGGGAGCGUAGAUGGGUUGUUAAGUCAGUUGUGAAAGUUUGCGGAUCAACCGUAAAAUUGCAAUUGAUACUGGCAGUCUUGAGUACAGUUGAGGUAGGCGGAAUUCGUGGUGUAGCGGUGAAAUGCUUAGAUAUCACGAAGAACCCCGAUUGCGAAGGCAGCUUACUAAACUGUGACUGACAUUGAUGCUCGAAAGUGUGGGUAUCAAACAGGAUUAGAUACCCUUGUAGUC
rnacentral:rRNA from 1 species